rnacentral:rRNA from 1 species
UACGUAGGUCCCGAGCGUUGUCCGGAUUUAUUGGGCGUAAAGCGAGCGCAGGUGGUUUAUUAAGUCUGGUGUAAAAGGCAGUGGCUCAACCAUUGUAUGCAUUGGGAACUGGUAGACUUGAGUGCAGGAGAGGAGAGUGGAAUUCCAUGUGUAGCGGUGAAAUGCGUAGAUAUAUGAAGGAACACCGGUGGCGAAAGCGGCUCUCUGGCCUGUAACUGACACUGAGGCUCGAAAGCGUGGGGAGCAAACAGG